ensembl:piRNA 21ur-2867 ncRNA
UUCCUCGAUCUUCUUAUAAAC